GAUGAAGAACGCAGCGAAAUGCGAUAAGUAGUGUGAAUUGCAGAAUUCAGUGAAUCAUCGAAUCUUUGAACGCACAUUGCGCCCCUUGGUAUCCCGAGGGGCAUGCCUGUUCGAGCGUCAUUGCUGCCCUCAAGCACGGCUUGUGUGUUGGGCCUCCGUCCUCCUCCCGGGGGACGGGCCCGAAAGGCAGCGGCGGCACCGCGUCCGGUCCUCGAGCGUAUGGGGCUUCGUCACCCGCUCUUGUAGGCCCGGCCGGCGCUUGCCGACACAUCAAUCUUUUUUCCAGGUUGACCUCGGAUCAGGUAGGGAUACCCGCUGAACUUAAGCAUAUCAAUAAGCGGAGGA
rnacentral:misc_RNA from 1 species